rnacentral:rRNA from 1 species
UAAGCCUGUGAAGGUGGCCUGUGAGGGUUGCUGGAGGUAUCAGAAGUGCGAAUGCUGACAUAAGUAACGAUAAAGCGGGUGAAAAGCCCGCUCGCCGGAAGACCAAGGGUUCCUGUCCAACGUUAAUCGGGGCAGGGUGAGUCGACCCCUAAGGCGAGGCCGAAAGGCGUAGUCGAUGGGAAACGGGUUAAUAUUCCCGUACUUGGUGUUACUGCGAAGGGGGGACGGAGAAGGCUAUGUUGGCCGGGCGACGGUUGUCCCGGUUUAAGCGUGUAGGUGUGUGUUCCAGGUAAAUCCGGUUCACUUUAACACUGAGGCGUGACGACGAGGCACUACGGUGCUGAAGCAACAAAUGCCCUGCUUCCAGGAAAAGCCUCUAAGCAUCAGGUAACAUCAAAUCGUACCCCAAACCGACACAGGUGGUCAGGUAGAGAAUACCAAGGCGCUUGAGAGAACUCGGGUGAAGGAACUAGGCAAAAUGGUGCCGUAACUUCGGGAGAAGGCACGCUGACACGUAGGUGAAGUGAUUUACUCAUGGAGCUGAAGUCAGUCGAAGAUACCAGCUGGCUGCAACUGUUUAUUAAAAACACAGCACUGUGCAAACACGAAAGUGGACGUAUACGGUGUGACGCCUGCCCGGUGCCGGAAGGUUAAUUGAUGGGGUCAGCGCAAGCGAAGCUCCUGAUCGAAGCCCCGGUAAACGGCGGCCGUAACUAUAACGGUCCUAAGGUAGCGAAAUUCCUUGUCGGGUAAGUUCCGACCUGCACGAAUGGCGUAAUGAUGGCCAGGCUGUCUCCACCCGAGACUCAGUGAAAUUGAACUCGCUGUGAAGAUGCAGUGUACCCGCGGCAAGACGGAAAGACCCCGUGAACCUUUACUAUAGCUUGACACUGAACAUUGAGCCUUGAUGUGUAGGAUAGGUGGGAGGCUUUGAAGUGUGG